rnacentral:rRNA from 1 species
GAUGAACGCUGGCGGCGUGCCUAAUACAUGCAAGUCGAGCGAACAGACGAGGAGCUUGCUCCUCUGACGUUAGCGGCGGACGGGUGAGUAACACGUGGAUAACCUACCUAUAAGACUGGGAUAACUUCGGGAAACCGGAGCUAAUACCGGAUAAUAUAUUGAACCGCAUGGUUCAAUAGUGAAAGACGGUUUUGCUGUCACUUAUAGAUGGAUCCGCGCCGCAUUAGCUAGUUGGUAAGGUAACGGCUUACCAAGGCAACGAUGCGUAGCCGACCUGAGAGGGUGAUCGGCCACACUGGAACUGAGACACGGUCCAGACUCCUACGGGAGGCAGCAGUAGGGAAUCUUCCGCAAUGGGCGAAAGCCUGACGGAGCAACGCCGCGUGAGUGAUGAAGGUCUUCGGAUCGUAAAACUCUGUUAUUAGGGAAGGACAAAUGUGUAAGUAACUAUGCACGUCUUGACGGUACCUAAUCAGAAAGCCACGGCUAACCACGUG